rnacentral:rRNA from 1 species
UACGGAGGGUGCAAACGUUGUCCGGAAUCACUGGGCGUAAAGAGCAUGUAGGUGGCUUUGUAAGUGAGCGAUUAAAGAUCGAUGCCUAACAUCGGGAAUGUUGCUUAUACUGCAUGGCUUGAGGAUGACAGGGGCAAGCGGAACUUUAGGUGUAGGGGUGAAAUCCGUAGAUAUCUAAAGGAACACCAAUGGCGAAGGCAGCUUGCUGGGUCAUAUCUGACACUGAGAUGCGAAAGCGUGGGGAGCGAACGGG